GACGAACGCUGGCGGCGUGCUUAACACAUGCAAGUCGAACGGUGAAGGGACCAGCUUGCUGGUUCUGGAUGAGUGGCGAACGGGUGAGUAACACGUGAGUAACCUGCCCCCUUCUUCUGGAUAACCGCAUGAAAGUCUGGCUAAUACGGGAUAUUCUGGGUCUGUCGCAUGGCGGGCCCGGGAAAGAUAUUGCUUCGGUGGGGGAUGGGCUCGCGGCCUAUCAGCUUGUUGGUGGGGUGAUGGCCUACCAAGGCGGUGACGGGUAGCCGGCCUGAGAGGGUGGACGGUCACACUGGGACUGAGACACGGCCCAGACUCCUACGGGAGGCAGCAGUGGGGAAUAUUGCACAAUGGGCGCAAGCCUGAUGCAGCGACGCCGCGUGAGGGAUGGAGGCCUUCGGGUUGUAAACCUCUUUCGCCAGUGAAGCAGGCCUGCUCCUUGUGGGUGGGUUGACGGUAGCUGGAUAAGAAGCGCCGGCUAACUACGUG
rnacentral:rRNA from 1 species